rnacentral:ncRNA from 1 species
GCCUCGUUUCCGAAUAGUCACCGUAUGGUGCGCGUUCCCCGCAAUCGCGGGGAUAGGGAACGGGGCCGCU